UACGUAGGGGUGCAAGCGUUGUCCGGAAUUAUUGGGCGUAAAGAGCUCGUAGGCGGUCUGUCGCGUCGGCUGUGAAAACCCGGGGGCUCAACCCCCGGGGCCUGCAGUCGAUACGGGCAGACUAGAGUGUGGUAGGGGAGACUGGAAUUCCUGGUGUAGCGGUGAAAUGCGCAGAUAUCAGGAGGAACACCGGUGGCGAAGGCGGGUCUCUGGGCCGAUACUGACGCUGAGGAGCGAAAGCGUGGGGAGCGAACAGG
rnacentral:rRNA from 1 species